CGGAUAAUUUCUAGCCAUAAUCGACCUGACAGGCAGCACUCGGGGCAAAGAGACUAAAAUAUAUAAAACCGACGCCACUUCCUGUCUCUCUCUCUUUCGACCGCGAGGUGCUGGUCCUUGCAAGUCUGGUCCACGUGCUUUCCCAUCAAACUCAUAACUCACUAGACACAAUGUCUGGAUGUGCUGUAGAUGCAGGAGGAGGGUGUUCUGACCUUCAUUGCAGCAGGAACCAACCAGGCUCUCAGAUGGAGCAGCAUCUGCAAAAGAUACUGACAGUAGUGUGUACUUAACAACGUGAUGAAGACCUGGGAAAAGCCAGAGCCAUUUGGUGCAUCUAGAACCUGGGCAAAGUUGGUGUCACCCGCUCCAGGAAUACAGAGCAGCUUUCCCAUCAAACUCAUAACUCAGUAGACAUGAUGUGCUGUAGAUGCAGGAGGAGGGUGUUCUGACCUUCAUUGCAGCAGGAACCAACCAGGCUCUCAGAUGGAGCAGCAUCUGCAAAAGAUACUGACAGUAGUGUGUACUUAACAAUGUGAUGAAGACCUGGGAACGGCCAGAGCCAUUUGGUGCCUCUUGAACCUGGGCAUGUUGGCAUCCUCUCCUCCAGGAAUACAGAGCCGGUCUGUAUAGGCACAAAGCUUUAUGUUGCAUGUUUUAUUAUAAAAGUAGGUCUGUCCUAAAGUAGGACCAUUACAUAAAUGUGUACUUGAUGUGUUUUGUUAAAGCAAGAACAUGCCACAAAAAACUAAAUGCAAAUUAGACUAUCUUUGUCUUCCACAUGAAAGUUGAAAAUAUAAGCAUUCAAACAUGGAUCAAUUCAGUACUCUCGUUACACUGUUAGUUUGAUAGACUUUAAGUUGUAUUCCAUUGCAGUAAACAUGCAGCACACAAUUAAAGCCUGGCACUGAUCUCGUCUGUGUUUGGGUGUCGGAAGUGUGCCACAGUAACAUGGCCGGGUUUUCGCUAACACCAUUAGGACUGCUGUCCCAUGACUGGAGUUUGAUAGUGACCUGAGCCACAUUUUAACAUUAAAGUGCAAGAUUAUACAUUUUCUUUAAAAAUAACAAUAGUUUCCAAAACGAAUUACAAAUGAAGAAAUGCACCGAUACUGACUCAAAUAACUGGAUAGUGGUACGAUUACAAUGAGGCCUAUCUGAAAUUAAAAAAAAUGCAUUCAUCACGUUUAAGCAAAGGCUUGACCUUGCCAGUAGAAUGGCUAAUCGAAUGACCAAGCUGUGUGUCGAGCUUCAUUGUGUUUUCCUCUCCAGGUAGUGUGUACUUUAUACCGUGAUGAAGACCUGGGAACGGCCAGAGCCAUUUGGUGCCUCUUGAACCUGGGCAUGUUGGCAUCCUCUCCUCCAGGAAUACAGAGCAGGUAGUGUGUAUUUUAUAAUGCGAGGAAGGCUUGGGAACGACCAGAGCCAUUUGUUGCCUCUUGAACCUGGGCAUGUUGGCAUCCUCUCCUUCAGGAAUACAGAGCAGGUGUGGUGCCUGUGACUCAGGAUGCCUCUGGAGGGAGAGGUCUGACAUCGCCUUGGUAGCUUAUGAAGUCACGCCUGUUCUCUACUUCUACAGGAGAUUCGGAGGAGGGGUGUUGUGACCAGACGACCACUGAAGACUGGUGUCAAGUCGAGAAGAAAGUCAUUAGAAAUGCACAAUGCUUUUGUUGCACGUCUCUGUCCUCAGAUCUUCCUGGUGUUUCUUUUAUCUCCUUUGUGUCAAAGGACCGAGGCUGUAGGAUGCUGUACAGAUUGUUAACUUCCCCAAGGAAGUUGAUGUUGGACUAUAUGAAUGAAACUGCACUAAGCUGAGAAAUCAAUAAAGAUGGCUGAUUAUUCAUAA